AGUGAACGCUGGCGGUAGGCCUAACACAUGCAAGUCGAACGGCAGCACAGUAAGAGCUUGCUCUUACGGGUGGCGAGUGGCGGACGGGUGAGGAAUACAUCGGAAUCUACUUUUUCGUGGGGGAUAACGUAGGGAAACUUACGCUAAUACCGCAUACGACCUACGGGUGAAAGCAGGGGAUCUUCGGACCUUGCGCGAUUGAAUGAGCCGAUGUCGGAUUAGCUAGUUGGCGGGGUAAAGGCCCACCAAGGCGACGAUCCGUAGCUGGUCUGAGAGGAUGAUCGGCCACACGGGAGGUGGAACGGGGACCAGGCUCCUACGGGACGCAGCAGUGGGGAAUGGGGGACAGUGGGGGCAAGCCUGAUCCAACCGUAGCGCGUGGGAGGAAGAGGCCUUCGGGUUGUAAAGCCGUUUUGUGGGGAAAGAAAAGCAGCAGGUUGAUAACCCGCUUUUCUGACGGUACCCAAAAAAUAAGCACCGGCUAACUUCGUG
rnacentral:rRNA from 1 species